AUGGCCGCGGGGCUUCCUCCACGAGCUGGAGUAUCAUCCUGGUUCAUGAACCCUCCGGUUGUGUUUCCUAAAACAACUUCUACCAGAUCAAAUCAGGGCAGCUGGGGAGCUGGUGCUGAAGGGGAAGAGAGCUAUGUCCAAGAGAACUUUUCUGUCGAUAAUCAUGAAGAUUCAGAGGGAUUGUUGCAUGCUAAUGAUGUGAUGCAAGAUGAUCAGAUGAUGGAGAUGUUUCAUCACAUCCAUUAUCGCCCUAUGUUGGCAUGGUGUUUGACACAUUUGAGGAUGCCCAGAAAUUCUACAAUGACUAUGCCUUCAAGUUGGGAUUUGGCACACAUAUAUCUUCUACAAAGUACAACCAAAAGAGAGGAUAGAAGCAAGAGGAUGCAAUAA
rnacentral:rRNA from 1 species